AUUUUCACGGGAAAAUAUUUAAAUAUACAAAUAUAUAAAUUAACUUUUUACGCUGUUCUUGAUAGUAAUACAAAUGUAAACCCCUUUUUAAUAUAAUAUAUAUAUAUAUAUAUAUUCUCUUAACUAUUUGAAUAUUGAAUUGAGAAUCUUUAUAACGGCUAGUUUCGGAUCACACAGCCACAAUAAUCUUGCCUCCUCUAUCCCCUUUCCAAACCAAAUAGCCCUUUACUCUUCCUGAAAUUGGCUGAAGCAAAAUUCAGUUUUCCUAGAAACCAAUCACUCCCAUGAAAGCACAAGAAGCAAAGGGUUCAGAAAAGGCAACUUCUUUCAAGGGCAGUCAGAUACCUUUUUAAUUGCAGCGAAUGCCCGAUUUCGCAGCAACGACUUCAAAGCCAAAUUGGGGCUGGUUCCACCAGUUGUCGAACUCGUCAAUGACGCUGAAUGGCUUUUACGACUCCUCUCAAGUCUGGCUGAAGAUUGGCUCGAUCUUUCGGGUGAGGGCAAAUUGCCGGUAACGAUGCCGUGUGAGCCAGAGCCGUCGUGGUCUGGUAGUAGGCGGAGAUGGUAUUGGUAGGGUUAGGGUUUUGGAAGGUGUUGGCCGUAGAGGACGAUGGUGGGGUGGGGAAAAAGAGAGAGGGAUUCAGGUUUUGAAGGCGAAGCGUCAUCGUCUUGUUGUUGUUUCUUGUUUGUCAAGAACGAAAGAGGUUGAUCUCCACCACGUUAAUAUCAAUCUGAAGAAUAUUCGUAGGGCUUCGUUGGACGCUUACAGGAAAUCAAAAUUAUCCACGAAAUUGCCUAGAGGUGUCGUUCUAUGUAGGGGGAUGCAGCAGAAGCCAGUUGAUGAUGCUGAAAGAAAUCGUUUCCUAUUUAACUAUCUUGAUUAUGCUUUUGCUGAAUUUAGGUUCGUCAACCUCCAUUUUAUCCUGCCAUGUUCACUAUUUGGGGAAGAUCGGCUACAAGCAAGGUUUCCCUUUAUCCCAACAAUCAAGCUAUCUUGAAGGCAGGCCAGAUCUCUCCACUGGAAAUCAAAUACUGGAAUGGUGGAGAAUAGAUUUUAUUGUAUUUUUUUUAGGUUUUUUUUUUUUUGGUAAUUUAGUAAGAUUAAGAGGUCGUUAGGACGAAAGAAAGGCCUAGGGAGGCUCGGAUGGAAAAUUUGUUUUAAUAAAAGAUAUGAUUUUUCUGGUUUGAGGGAAGAAGGGGCAGCUUGGGAUUGCCGAGGCUCUCUUCCCUCUGGGGUGUGUGGUAUGCUGUGUUGUCUUUCUUUUUCCUCUCUCACUUCCCGACUUUCCUUCUCUAAUUUUCUUUUCUCUGCAUGCUUUCUUCAAUCUCUCUCUGCUUUUCCUCUCCUCUUUCACUAUUUGAUUUCUCUCUUGAUUGCUCUUGUAAUUUGUCUCUCUAUUUUAUGCUCUGUUUUCUUUCUCUAUUUUUUUCUUUUUUUCCCUUUACUUCCUCUUUUUUUAUGUAUCUAUACAUUUUCGGUCCACUUUUUUUCUAUACUUUUUCUCAAUUUCUUUGUCUGCAUUUAGUAUUUUUCCCUUUUAGUUUUCUCCUCUAUUUCUCAGCUUGCUUUUUAUCCUUCUACUCCUCUAUUUUUCUCUUUUUUCUGGUUUGAGGGAACUUUCCCUCUGAUUUUCACUCAUUGAUUUCUAGAGGCAUUUCUUUCUAGUUUCUUUCUUUCGGCUAGAUUGUUUAAAUCCACAUGCUAUCAAUGCUCAAUUUAUGUGAAAAUUUCAUUUAUGUCCUUAGGAAGCUAAAAAAUACAGCACAAAAUGGAAAAAGGUACAAAAUCAAUAUUAUUUUAUUAAAAACUUAUACACAAAAACAAAAAAGAAAAGAUGAUUACAAAAAAAUGGAACUAAAAAAAAAAAAAAAAAAAGAUGUGUUUACCUAAAAAUGAAAAGUUAAAUGGAGAAAAUGAGGAAACACCCUAAAUAAGAUGAGAAAUUAAAUUUUAUAUAAACUAUAGUACCAUAUGUGUUUUCUGUUUUCUAUUUUCCUACUUUGUAUUUUAUCUAUUUUUAACUAUUAGAUAUAUAUGUAUGUGUGUGCGUAUAUAUAUAUAUAUAUAUGUGUGUGUGUGUGUGUGUGUGUGUGUAUACAUAUAAAAGUGUAAGGUUAUAUAUAGAAAAGAAUUGCAUGUAAUAAAAAAAACAUGUUAAGCAACCAGUAAACAACCUAAAAACAUAAUGAUCUAUAGUAUUUUUUUAAAAUAAGAAACUAAAAAAAUUAAAAUAUAAUAAUUACUUUUAAAACAUUUAACCUAAUAUAUGCAUAUAUAUAUAUACAUAAAUUAUUAAUAUUC